UGGACGCAAGUUCACUUAGUGGCGACCGGGUGCGUAACACGUAGCUGACCUGCCCUGACGCGGGGGACAACUGCUGGAAACGGCAGCUAAUACCGCAUGAGGGCGUCAAGCCUAAAUAUUGACGCUCAAACUUACGGGGCGACAGGAGGGGGCUGCGGCCCAUCAGGUAGUUGGUGAGGUAACGGCUCACCAAGCCGACGACGGGUAGGGGGCCUGAGAGGGUGGUCCCCCACACUGGGACUGACAACGGCCCAGACUCCUACGGGAGGCAGCAGUAAGGGAUAUUGCGCAAUGGGCGAAAGCCUGACGCAGCAACGCCGCGUGGAGGAAGAAGGCCUUCGGGUCGUAAACUCGUUUUGACGCUGAGGAACAAGUGACCGUAGGCGUCGAAUAAGUCACGGCUAACUACGUGCCAGCAGCCGCGGUAAAACGUAGGUGGCGAGCGUUAUCCGGAUUUACUGGGCGUAAAGGGUGUGCAGGCGGGGUAUCAAGUGGUGUAUGAAAGGGCGCGGCUCAACCGCGCUAGGUUAUGCCAGACUGAUGCUCUUGAGGACCAAACAGGGCUGUGGAAUUCCGGGUGUAGUGGUGAAAUGCGUAGAGAUCCGGAGGAACCCCAGAGGCGAAGGCGGCAGCCUGGUUGGCUCCUGACGCUCGGACACGACAGCAUGGGGAGCGAACGGGAUUAGAAACCCCGGUAGUCCAUGCCGUAAACGAUGCAGACUAGGCGCUGGCGGUCUCAACCCCGUCGGUGUCGCAGCAAACGCGUUAAGUCUGCCGCCUGGGGAGUACGGCCGCAAGGCUAAAACUC
rnacentral:rRNA from 1 species